rnacentral:lncRNA from 15 species
AUGGUUUUUGUAGUGCCGAGGGUGGUGUUGGUGGUGGUAUUGUUGGUGGUGGUGAUUGUGUUGGUGGACUGGCUUUGUGUGGAGCUGGGGAUGGCGCUGACGGUGGUGGCAUUGUCGGUGGUGGUGAUUGUGUUGGUGGACUGGCUUUGUGUGGAGCUGGGGAUGGCGCUGACGGUGGUGGCAUUGUCGGUGGUGGUGAUUGUGUUGGUGGACUGGCUUUGUGUGGAGCUGGGGAUGAUGUUGUCGGUGGUAGUACUUGUGUUGGUGGACUGGCUUUGUGUGGUGCUGAUGGUGGUGCCGGUGGUGGUACUGUUGGUAAUAGUAGUUGUGUUGGUGAACUGGCUUUGUUUUUUGAUGCUAGAGUCCUGAGUUGUCGAGUCAGGAGUCUGUUUUUCCUCAGUGCUGGCAGCCUGGGUGGAAGUGUUAUUGGUGGUGGAAGUAGUUGUAGAUGGAGUUGUACUAGGAACAUUUGUUUUGUCGUUAUCGGUUGCCAUGGAUGGAGGUAUGGUGCUGAGGUUCCCAGGGUUUUGUGGAGAGAUAGAUAGUUUGGGCUCUGCUGUUAGUACACAGCCCCAUAGCAGACCUGCAAUCCAUGACAAAAGAUGUUUAAAAGUGCACACCUGCAGCAACGUGUUUUUAACAUAAAUAAGAGCAUAUGAAGAACCUGAGAAGACCUUAGUGGAAUGAUUAUUCACCUGUUCAUAUUUAUAUUCAUAUUCCUAUCUUAAAGGGCCUACUCAAUCUUUGAAAACCAUGGAUGUGUUAAAGGAGAGCUUUGUUCAUUGUUGUGGAAGCUGAUCAGUGUUGCAUUCAUCCCGGGAUAAAAUUACCAAUAUUUCCUGCAUAUGCUUCCGGAUUGUAUGUCUUGUAAGGUGAUUUUAGGCCCCUGUGCAUCAUGUGAUGGACACCAUUACUGUAAUUACACACUUUGGCCUCUAUAUCAAAUUGGCUUCAAGCCCUGGGCUCUUCCUGGGGGCUUGGGGAAAACAGUUGUGCAGUGACUUCUGUGGCUGUGCUUUCCAAACAAGUAACUCAGUUAUAACCAUUUUGAGUACCCCUAACUUUAUGGAAUACUGCUUUACUUUAUAUUAUGGUUGAUUGUUCAACUUUAGUUGCACUGCAGCACUGUUGUUUUUCUUUUUGUUUUGUUGUUUGCUUUCAUUAGCAUGUUAUUGGAUCCUGUUGGGCAUAAGACGGUACAUCUCAGUAGGUUUAUCCAUCAACAACAAAAUCUCAAUCAUAACUAGUUGCAGAGGCAUAUGGAAUAGACAGAUUUUAAUCUGUUAUAUGUGGGCACAGGAAAAAGUCAGCCUCCUGACUGAAAUCAGUCAAUGUUAAACUAGCAGCUGGUAGUGUUUUUAGUGAUAAUAUUGCGUAUCGUCCCAUCCCUGUUCACAGCUAAAAACAAACCAGGCUAGGCAAGAAACAGAGUGGUCAGAUGUACAAUAGUUUUAUGCAGGCAACCAAUUCCUAAAAAAAACCCCAUAUUAUUACUAUUAAUUAUUAUUAAUAGUAAUGUGUAUGUAUAUAUAUGUGUGUGUGUGUAUAUAUAUAUAUAUGUGUAUAUAUCUCUCGAAACAUCCAAUUUGUAGUAUCAAAAGUGUAUACACACACACACACACACACACACACACACACACACACACACACAAACACAAGGAAAUAUAGGAACAAUAAAGAAAUAUAUAUAUAAACACAAGGAACGCAAAGACAUUUGCACAUGGCACUUAGAGUAGGUAUCAAAGUAAAGUUUUUACUUAUCAGGCAGGGGAUAUUCAUUUGAUAUUCAUUUGUUAUUGUCAACUAAUCCUAUGAAAAGAAAAAAAAUAAACUGCCAUAAACACUCACUAGACCACCAAAUAUGAAUCCACUGCUGAAUAUAGUCCCCAACAAAUGUACUGUUUCCUCCUGUGACAAAAACUACAAGGUGGGCAUGUCAGAAAGUAGUGAGAGACAGACUAACACAUUGUUGGCUUUUAGUUUUUCCAGGGAAUGUGUUAAUAAUGAGAAAAAUACAGAAUAAUGCCAGCUUUAUCCUUAAACAAUCCUGUAUGUCAGGGUUUUUCAGCACCUGGGACUUCCACAGAGAUGCUCCACAGUGCCACAGGAAGUCAUUCCUGCCCGUGGCCAUCAGACUGUUCAACUCGGUCAUUAGACUGCGCUGUGGACAUCAAUUUAUCACACCCUGUCAGCAGCUAAUUUAUAACUUCAAUUGUACCAUUCCGACUUUAACAGUGUAAUCAUUUGUGCAAUAAUUAUUUAAACAGGCAAUACUCUAGUUGACUCUGACAUUAAUAAUGAAAAUAAACUUUAUACUGUUGUUAUCGCAUUGGCACACAUAUUCAUAGAUCCAGUUCUCAGCAUAAUAAUGAUUUAUUUAUUACGCUGCUGUUACAUUAGUAUACUUUUUAUUUUUUUAGUUUAAUGCACAUAGUUUUACUUUUCAUUCUUAUUUUCUAUUUAUCUUUGUUAAGUACCUUGAUAAGUUGUAAUGUAACCCAAUUUCGCCCUGGGGAUAAAUAGAGUAUUUCUGAUUCUGGGAUUUUCUUUUGUGCAGGACAAUGUAAUGCUUAAAGACGAGGGGCAAAGUUUCGUUUAUCACUGUUCCAAUGACAUGGAAAUCAGGGCAAAGAUCAGGUAUGACACAUUCAAGGUUUUCAUGUGUUCUUAGUACUCUGGUCACGUUGUUUUUAGAACGAUCAGACUUCAAAUGAAUAAAGAAGUGUUGUUGUUUUGUUGCUGUUUUCAGCAUCAUCCAAUAACAGAGAGUCUCAAUCUUUCAGAAAUAAUUUAAGGGAUAAUACAUUAUCCUGUGAUGUAAGACUUCCAUCACUAUACGCACAUUUUAUAACAACACAGUGUCCUUCACAGAUUCAAAGUCAGUGCCUGAGAGCACAUCAGUUUAAUCGUCACUAAGUUAUGAACACUAGAGGAAAUAUCUAGUGUACUCUCUCAGUGAGAGCACAGCAGCAAAUCAAACAGUAAAGAAGCAUUCUGUUACGCAGCCUUAACGCUCAUCAGGGAGAGAUGGCUUGUGAUUCGAAUGAAAAUGAACACUGAAGAUGCUGUAAGUUGAAUUGUGAAAAAUGUCAGACUGAAUGAAACAAGCAGGAAUGACUCACCUCACCUCACACAAACCGAGACAUUUUUGCAAUGGAGCAUGUAAGAAUUUACAUGGUAGUUGUGCGGCUUGUCAACUUUUUAACAUGGUAUAUCUGCAGUCCCUCCAUCUCCCUGAGCCAAAAUGUCACCAUCCACUACUAACAUUCAACUUAUUUCAGCAGUUUCCUUAAAGCUAGUGAAUUAUCUUCACACUUGCGUUGUGACCUUCCCCGUUUUCUGACUUCCUCGAGACAUUUACAUUAAAGCACAUCUUAAAAAGAGAAGGAGAGAAAUCCAAUGGCAUGCAUUGAUGUCAGAGUUUACUUACAUGUUAUCAGAGCUUUCAGGCUGACCCUCAUGACUGUGUUCCUUUUACUGUGUAUCUCCACAAGCACUUGUGUAACUGCAGCUCUGCGCUCUCUGCUCCCUGUAGACAGCUGUAGUGUGUGUGGCUUCCUGUGACUGUAGGUGACUGAUUAUAAGAGCCUGGGGGGCGAGGCUACACGAUGACUGAGUCACACUCAAAAUCUCACGGGGUGGCCUGGUCACGGUGAGAAGCUGUUGUAAUGAAGACUUAAAAACAAAAGACCACAG